GUAUAAGACAUCUCAUGUUUAUGGUUUCUGUGUCGAUUUCGGCCACCAUUGAGUUUGGAGAUUGAAAUUAUCUUUUUUGUGGAAGCAUUUAGGAUGAGAUGAGCAUGCAAUAUGUCAUUGCAGCUACCUGGAUAUGCUCUUUACGACACUGAAUUUUAUACACCGUAUCUUCAGCAGACUAGAAACAUCAUUGUUAUUGGCUUUUUGUAACAAGUGGCUGGCUGGUUUGUUAUAUGACGACAUAAUCUAGAUGAAGAGAAGCAAGAGGCAUAUUCAGAAUGAUUUUUCCUGAAACCAAGCAUGUCUUGAAAGUCUCAGAUUGGUAGCUUAUAUCUUCAGAAAUUAUACUCUACGAAGGAUGGAUCACCGUUUAGGUUGUCACGUUGUGAAAGCCAACCCGCUGCGAGAAAAUGUCAUGCGGAGAAACUAUUUUAAUUCACACAAGUUUCUGCGUAACGAUUAAUGGUACAUAGCUGCAAAUAUGAAUGAAUUGGCAGCCUGGGAAUGUCUAUUUUACUGGUCCUUAUAAGGGCAUUUGAUGCAUUGAAACAGUAUUAUAUUGAGCUCCAUGAGGGACCAUGUUGCAAGUUCACUGAGGGUACCAAAUGGUCAUUUUAAUUUUCAAAUAGUUCCAUCUAAACACCAUUUGCCAAUAUCUUUAGUCAAUAGUAGCUAGCAGGCCAAACAAAAACGUAAUAACCAGAUCCAAACGUCAGUCGUGCUCCCUUAUGUGUUGCUAGAGUAACCUGAUGAUGGAUUCAUGGGUUUUGGUUUUGUUAACUGGACCAGAAAUAUACUAUUCCACCACAUGUGAUCCUCUGGAAUAAUGGAGAAGUUAAAUGAGAGUUUGCUGAUGGGCAGCAUUUUUCUUUUCCUCCCAAUAGUUCUUGAGUUUGUUAGUGAGCACCAAUUCUUUUUCUGAGAACAACAGUCAUUUGUAGUCUAAUUGGAUGCCCUAAUGUGCAGCCAUCUAUAUACAUGCGUCCCUGAUUCUAAAAACGCCAUUGUUUCACUUUAUCCCCUAUUAGGGCAAGUAAGCAACAAGGCAGUUAUCUUCAGAGUAACCAUAGAAACAUGAAUUGGCAGUUGCUCUCCGUACUUUGUAAAUUCAGAUACGUGCCCUUGCUAUGAUAAAAUGCUUCUGUUGUUCCUGAAUUUCCCUGUUACAAUAUGCACUUUGGUGUUUUUAUUCUUAAGUUACCAUUUCUUGAUUUGUAGGUGUAGAAUGGAUCUUUUGUGCUGCAUGCUUUUACAUGCAUCUCAUUGUGUUGUUGCCCUGCUAGAUUUUAGGUCUUUUGCAUUGCCAAUAUUACGAUUUAGGGAUGUACGGCUGAUACUGGUUGGUUAAUAGUAUUGGCAAUAUACCUAAUACUUAAUGUAUGUAUUAUGCUUAUUUCCGUACCGCGCCUGAGGUGAUGUCCGUCAGUGUUUUCAUUUCCUAUUUGGUUCAGGUUUCUGAAAAAUGAUUUAUACUUCAAACUAUAAAUGAGAGGGAGAUAGAUUUUAUAUGUGAUUCUGCAGUGUACCCAUCCAGACAUUGCAAAUAACAUAUUGUUUUGUCUCCAUAUAAACUUGUUGCCGUUUUUCAAUGAAAAUGGGAAUACUUCACGACUUGCAGUUUAUUCCUUGAUUUUCUGUCUGAAAUAUUUUUUUGUGCUAGACUUCUUUUCUCAUUGAUCUACAUUUCUACAUGACCAACACCGCUCUCACGUGAUUUGACAAAAAAUGGUACUCAUUGUGAAGUGGCAUGCUUAAACACCUAAGUCUGUACAAAAGCAACUUGUGAUUUGUGGGCUUAUGGUACGAUUUCUGUGAGAAGUUCCCUCUUACGGGUUAGGGAUCUGACAAUAUCUGAUGGAGUUCUUGAAGUAGUGGGUUUGAACUUGAUCAGGAGGAAACAGGCCUGAAGUUGAUAUCUUCUGAUCGGGUUGACUAUGGUUGAUCCAGUACUAUAAGGAUGAAAGUACCUUGCCAUGGUUGGUUUCCUGCUACUUUGUAGGAGGUGAGGAGUUCCUUGAGAAUUUACAAAUUUAUGAACUCAUAGCUGGAGACAGAAACCACCUAUAUUCGAUCCAGUACUAUAAGGAUGAAAGUACCUUGCCAUGGUUGGUUUCCUGCUACUUUGUAGGAGGUGAGGAGUUCCUUGAGAAUUUACACAUUUAUGAACUCAGAGCUGGAGACAGAAACCACCUAUAUUCGGAGAUGAUCUAGCAUCUUUGGUUUCAAAUUGCAGAGGCCCUACAUCAAAUUGCUCCAUUGUUUUUCUGUGUAUACUUACAUUUAAAUUAGCUCUAAUGUUCCCAAAAAAGCUUAGCUCAGUAGCCAAAGGACCGCCAAGGCUACAUAAGACUGCACACUAGAAGAAUCAAAUUUGCAUAACUAGCAUUCACAUUCUUCAAACUUCAGAACAAAGCUUCUUGAGAACAAUGAAGAUAUCCACAUUAUUCAAACUUCUGGACAAAACAGCUUUUUUUUGAGAGAGGAAGCAGCUUUUCUUGGGCCGCUGUCAAGGCCACUGUAAAAGAGGAAAACAAUGAUCCUCUGCUUCCUACUUUAUCAAUAAUAAGUUGUAGCAUGUGUCAUCUUGGGAUCUUCAACAACCAUAAUUGUGUGUCACAAUCGAUUCUAUUUUUAAUACAAGGAAGAUUUUUCUUUGCUGCUUCUGGAUAUUUCAAGUCUGAAUUGAUUCGGAGAAGGGAUCCAUAUGACAUAUGGGAAUGAGAAAGUUGUUGCCCUGGGAGGGUUUCUGCAACUUGACCCUGCAUGACCCCCCAUGGACAAAGCGCAGCAUUUUCUUCUAUUACUAUCGACUCUUGCAUGUCUCCUGACAAGAAAGAGGGCAUCAUCAGUAGAACAAGGAAAUAUUUUCAGAUAUGGGCGCUAGCUUAGGCUUCCAGCAGGUGUGCGUGAGUAGUCAUAUAGAGAGUAGUAUGUGUGUGUGGUUUGGCCGGAGCUGUUGUAAUCACACAAUGUAAUUCUCUCUUCUAUGUUACUGACAUGACAUGCAAGCUUUGCAUGUUCUUGAAAAGAAAAGAGGGCAACACAUUCAUUGA